AUGAUGGAACUCGAUAAUACUACACUAUACGAUGUACUUGAGAUUCCAAUGAAUACCCGUCGAAGCGAUGUGGUCAUCAGCAUCAGGGAGCAAGAGUGGGCACAUCUGAGUUCAGAUAUUCAGUCACUGUUUUCCAAUCCAUCUCAAGCUCCACAGGUCCUCUGGAAACUUUUGCCAGAGCAGCCAAACCAGGGCUAUCCGGGCUUCAGCUUCCUCCACACUGUCGGAAACUGGUCUAUAAUAUGCAUGCUUUGCCGGUUCCCUGCAAGCACUUUCGGCCAUGACCUCAAGUUCUGCAGGUAG
rnacentral:rRNA from 1 species